GACGAACGCUGGCGGCGUGCUUAACACAUGCAAGUCGAACGGAAAGGCCCUGCUUUUGUGGGGUGCUCGAGUGGCGAACGGGUGAGUAACACGUGAGUAACCUGCCCUUGACUUUGGGAUAACUUCAGGAAACUGGGGCUAAUACCGGAUAGGAGCUCCUGCUGCAUGGUGGGGGUUGGAAAGUUUCGGCGGUUGGGGAUGGACUCGCGGCUUAUCAGCUUGUUGGUGGGGUAGUGGCUUACCAAGGCUUUGACGGGUAGCCGGCAUUAGAGGGUGACCGGCCACAUUGGGACUGAGAUACGGCCCAGACUCCUACGGGAGGCAGCAGUGGGGAAUAUUGCACAAUGGGCGGAAGCCUGAUGCAGCAACGCCGCGUGCGGGAUGACGGCCUUCGGGUUGUAAACCGCUUUCGCCUGUGACGAAGCGUGAGUGACGGUAAUGGGUAAAGAAGCACCGGCUAACUACGUG
rnacentral:rRNA from 1 species